GAGCUCGUCUUCUAUGCUGCCUACUCCUUUGCCUGCUCCAUAGCGCCCCCUCAUUGUGUUUUCUAAAGCUAAUUUAUUUUAAAACAAUUCAUUACAAAACCGAACCUUUUGUUACAACUAACUAACCUAAGCAUGUCAAUAAAGACUUCUGUUUUCUUAUAAAAUAUUUCAGAAUUUACAUACAAAAAACAUUCACAUUUGCCCAAGUUAAUAUGAGUAAAAAAUAUAUAAUGUCCUCUUAUUGUGGGUGGAGUAAGAAAGGGAAGACGUUGAAAUUAUUUUACCUUUUAGGAGUUGGGCAUUAAAUAUUUUUUCUUAAAGGAUAAUAUUAUUUCCUUUGUGUCUGAAAGAUUCUUUGAUUUAGAGAUCCUGGGUGUUCUUUUAGGAAUACCGGGGCAUUUAUCUCUGAAACUGCGUGAAGUGUGUGGAUCUUUAUGACCCGAGAACUUCAAGAACCAAACUCUCGAGAAGGUCCUCUCCGUGUCCAGCAGGGGGCAGUGCCGAACCUCCACAGCGCUGCUCUCCGCCUCAGAGCGCAACAGACGAAGAAGAAGACACCCCCCCCCCCAAAAGACGAAGGAGAAGAAGACUAGUCGUUGCACCGAGAUCCAAGGUACAGACGGUCUUUAGCGUUUGUUCCGUUACAGGCAGUGGUCAUGAGUGUCUGUCGGGAGUGGGAGAUCUUCAUCCCGGAGGAGGCGGUGGUGCAGAACAUGCCUCUGCGGAGUUUACCCCUCUCUGUGCUGAAGAGGAUGAGACUGCCCCUCCCAGACUGGGACCCCUCCAGGAGACCCAUGGAUUUGCCCACCGUCACGUGGAUCUGCCCGGCGUUCGUCUGCAAAAAAGGCCUGACGUCAGCCCCCCCCAUCAGGAGUGUUUGGGCAGAGGGUGUGCGUACGUUGAAGCAGUGUGGAUCAAGGUCAGCCCCCCUAAAGAUGUCCUUCAAGUCCUCCAACCGGGUCGCUUUUGAGGUGCUGAAGCUGAAGGACGUUUCAGACAAAUGCCACACCCGCCCCCUCCCUCAGGGCACCACCCCCACCACCAACCAGACCGCCCUGGUCAUCUACCGCGGGCAGAUCUACCUGUGCAUCAGAAAGUCUGAGCUGGGCCAGAAGCAGCAGAGGAGCAGCUCAACCUCUCCAUCGCUGUCAGCCGACAGCCCAGAGACGGAGAAUGUGACGGAGUCCAGGUGCCAAACCAAAGCCUCCCCGGGAGGGGUCUGGUCCCCCCAGAAGGAGAGUCGCAGCGCUCUCAGGAGGGAGAGGGGUUCCCCGGACGCCUUCAGUGUGAAGCGGAUCCGGAUGGAGCAGGCGGGUCUGGAGGGUGGUGCUGCUCAGGAGACUCUGGCAGGUGAAGCUAGCGGCUCCUCCUCAGGGUAUGAUGUCUUUAGCAAGCAGACGGAUGAGGACGCCGUCUAUAAAGAGCUGGAGGAGGAGGAGGAGAUUGCUCAGCUGAAGGCCCGCUUGCAGAGAGAGGACGACGCUCUCAACGACCUGCUGUCUGGACCCUGAACCGGGAUCAGAACCUGCUUAUUCCCUCCAGAGGUUUGGCCUCUUCUGGUUCAGUGGAGGAAUCUUUUCUGCUGCAGCUGCUGUGACGGGAGUGAUGACCUCUGAACUCUACACAUCUGCAAAUGAGGGAUGUUCUCCUCUUUACGCUCUCAGGGGGGGAGCAAGAACCUCCUUUUUGUGCUGUGGGUGUGUUUGUAGCAAAUCAAAUGAGGUUUAUUUAACAUGACCGCAGUCAAGCAAACAGGCAGACAUUAAAACAUUGAAAACUACUAAAAGGUUACAACAAUUAAAAAGGAAAAUAAUCAAAUAAGUGACGGUAAAAAACAAGUACGGGUGGAACAAAAGGAAAGACGGCAGCAGAGCAGAGUGAUGUGCUGACAAAAGUCUGCUUAAAAAGUGACUUUUAGAUGUGUAUGUUCAUGUGUGUUACGUGUCAAUAAAUGCAUGUUAGCCUGACUGCAGCUGAGGACCAUAAAGGUCCGUGUCCGUUCAGAUGUUUAAAAGGCUAUUUUAAAUUAUCUUCUUUUAAAUAUCAAUAAAAACAUUUCCUUGGAAGAUUCAAAGAUAAACUUUGUGAAAAUCUGUACAUUUAUGUCCAGCUCCUGUUCCUUCAAAAAAACUUAGAUUAAAUGUUUUAAAGUGUUUUAAAGUCUUAUGUAUUCAAACAUUCAAAUACUUAAAGAUCAGAUUUCUAUAAAGUCUGCUUUACUGAUGCUGAUUUUCAAACCUUCUUUUUAAAAUGUUAUUUUUGUUGUGUGGCCACAAUAAUGGGAAUCAAAAGUGCUCAAAGGUUCUGGAAAACCUUAAAAACUGACCCUAAAAGUGCUUGAGGUGACCUGGAUCAUUAUUUUCUCUUCUGGAUCUCUGGAUUUUGGCCGCCAGGGGGCAGCAGACCUGAACUUCAGUGUCAGAGGUCAGUUUGAUACAUGGAGGAAAACUGACAAGACUGAAGAUACUGUAAAAAAAAAAACAUCUUUGACAUUUCCAUAUAACAAAACUACAAUCUGCCUUCUAGAUUGGUGGUUGGGAAUGAUUACAUAAGACAUUUGUGUCGAGUAGAUGUCUUUGUUAUAACAAUGCUUCUUGGCAAUAAAAGUUACUUUUGGAAAGCCCGUUUGUUUUCCUUUU
ensembl:lncRNA